rnacentral:sRNA from 1 species
CGCAGCCGCGGUAAUUCCAGCUCCAAUAGCGUAUAUUAAAGUUGUUGCAGUUAAAAAGCUCGUAGUUGAAUUUCGGGAUCAAUGGGUUGGUCAUGCCCUCGGUAUGUACUGAUUUCAUUGGUUCUCACCUUCUAAGGAACCAUGAUGUCAUUUAUUUGAUGUUGUGGGAAAUUAGGACUGUUACCUUGAAAAAAAUUAGAGUGUUUAAAGCAGGCUAACGCUUGAAUACAUUAGCAUGGAAUAAUGAAAUAGGACAUCCGAUUCUAUUUUGUUGGUUUCUAGGAUCGAUGUAAUGAUUAAUAGGGAUAGUUGGGGGCAUUAGUAUUCAAUUGUCAGAGGUGAAAUUCUUGGAUUUAUUGAAGACUAACUACUGCGAAAGCAUUUGCCAAGGAUGUUUUCAUUAAUCAAGAACGAAAGUUAGGGGAUCGAAGACGAUCAGAUACCGUCGUAGUCUUAACCAUAAACUAUGCCGACUAGGGAUCGGAUGAUGCUUAUUUUUUAAUGACUCAUUC